rnacentral:rRNA from 1 species
CCUACGGGGGGCAGCAGUGAAGAAUAUUGGUCAAUGGACGAGAGUCUGAACCAGCCAAGUAGCGUGAAGGAUGACUGCCCUAUGGGUUGUAAACUUCUUUUAUAUGGGAAUAAAAUGUUCCACGUGUGGGAUUUUGUAUGUACCAUAUGAAUAAGGAUCGGCUAACUCCGUGCCAGCAGCCGCGGUAAUACGGAGGAUCCGAGCGUUAUCCGGAUUUAUUGGGUUUAAAGGGAGCGUAGGUGGAUUGUUAAGUCAGUUGUGAAAGUUUGCGGCUCAACCGUAAAAUUGCAGUUGAAACUGGCAGUCUUGAGUACAGUAGAGGUGGGCGGAAUGCGUGGUGUAGCGGUGAAAUGCUUAGAUAUCACGAAGAACUCCGAUUGCGAAGGCAGUUCACUGGACUGCAACUGACACUGAGGCUCGAAAGUGUGGGUAUCAAACAGGAUUAGAUACCCUUGUAGUC